UUGUUUUAUAUUGUUUUACCUUGUUUAUAUGUUAGUCAUACGACAUUGCACCAAUAGUAUUUUCAAUCUACCACAAUUAGCCGGGGCUGUUUAAUAGGUGUCAGAGGCCAGUGGUAUACUAACAUAUACCUUCUCAGCUCUCAGGUGUAGAUCCAUAGUUCAGUAUGUUUAAUCACACCUAUAAAAUUGUGCACUCUCCUCACAGGCUAAGAUACCGUCUAGACAUAUGUUCCUAGAAUGAUGAUUGCUGCCAACAUGGC